CACGUAGGGGGCAAGCGUUGUCCGGAAUCAUUGGGCGUAAAGAGCUCGUAGGCGGCUCAGUAAGUCGGGUGUGAAACCCCCAGGCUCAACCUGGGGACGCCACUCGAUACUGCUGUGGCUAGAGUCCAGUAGGGGAGUGUGGAAUUCCCGGUGUAGCGGUGAAAUGCGCAGAUAUCGGGAGGAACACCAGCGGCGAAGGCGGCACUCUGGGCUGGAACUGACGCUGAGGAGCGAAAGCGUGGGUAGCAAACAGG
rnacentral:rRNA from 1 species